GCUCCGGUGGUGUAGUCCGGUCAAGCAUACUGCCCUUUCGAGGCAGUGAUCGCGGGUUCAAAUCCCGCCCGGAGCA
rnacentral:tRNA from 2 species